rnacentral:rRNA from 1 species
UGGGGAAUUUUGGACAAUGGGCGAAAGCCUGAUCCAGCAAUGCCGCGUGUGUGAAGAAGGCCUUCGGGUUGUAAAGCACUUUUGUCCGGAAAGAAAUCCUUGGCUCUAAUACAGUCGGGGGGAUGACGGUACCGGAAGAAUAAGCACCGGCUAACUACGUGCCAGCAGCCGCGGUAAUACGUAGGGUGCAAGCGUUAAUCGGAAUUACUGGGCGUAAAGCGUGCGCAGGCGGUUUGCUAAGACCGAUGUGAAAUCCCCGGGCUCAACCUGGGAACUGCAUUGGUGACUGGCAGGCUAGAGUAUGGCAGAGGGGGGUAGAAUUCCACGUGUAGCAGUGAAAUGCGUAGAGAUGUGGAGGAAUACCGAUGGCGAAGGCAGCCCCCUGGGCCAAUACUGACGCUCAUGCACGAAAGCGUGGGGAGCAAACAGGAUUAGAUACCCUGGUAGUCCACGCCCUAAACGAUGCCAACUAGUUGUUGGGGAUUCAUUUCCUUAGUAACGUAGCUAACGCGUGAAGUUGACCGCCUGGGGAGUACGGUCGCAAGAUUAAAACUCAAAUGAAUUGACGGGGUCAUAGCUGUUUCCU